GUGGGGAAUUUUGGACAAUGGGCGAAAGCCUGAUCCAGCAAUGCCGCGUGUGUGAAGAAGGCCUUCGGGUUGUAAAGCACUUUUGGCAGGGAAGAAACAGUGCGUGCUAAUACCAUGCGCGAAUGACGGUACCUGCAGAAUAAGCACCGGCUAACUACGUGCCAGCAGCCGCGGUAAUACGUAGGGUGCAAGCGUUAAACGGAAUUACUGGGCGUAAAGCGUGCGCAGGCGGCUUUGUAAGACGGAUGUGAAAGCCCCGGGCUCAACCUGGGGAGUGCCAUGGUAACUGCAAGGCUAGAGUGUGUCAGAGGGAGGUGGAAUUCCGCGUGUAGCAGUGAAAUGCGUAGAGAUGCGGAGGAACACCGAUGGCGAAGGCAGCCUCCUGGGAUAACACUGACGCUCAGGCACGAAAGCGUGGGGAGCAAACAGGAUUAGAAACCCGUGUAGUCC
rnacentral:rRNA from 1 species